UACGUAGGGGGCAAGCGUUAUCCGGAUUUACUGGGUGUAAAGGGAGCGUAGACGGAGCAGCAAGUCUGAUGUGAAAACCCGGGGCUCAACCCAGGGACUGCAUUGGAAACUGUUGAUCUGGAGUGCCGGAGAGGUAAGCGGAAUUCCUAGUGUAGCGGUGAAAUGCGUAGAUAUUAGGAGGAACACCAGUGGCGAAGGCGGCUUACUGGACGGUAACUGACGUUGAGGCUCGAAAGCGUGGGGAGCAAACAGG
rnacentral:rRNA from 1 species